ACGGCCACAUAUCUGUGAAACAUCGGUUCCCGUACUAUCUCCGAAGUUAAGCAACAUCGAGCCUGGUUAGUAUCUAGAUGGGUGACCAUUCGCAAAUACGAGAUGCCGCU